rnacentral:rRNA from 1 species
UACAGAGGGGGCAAGCGUUGUUCGGAAUUACUGGGCGUAAAGGGCGCGUAGGCGGCCUUCUAAGUCGAACGUGAAAUCCCUGGGCUCAACCCAGGAACUGCGUCCGAUACUGGAAGGCUUGAAUCCGGGAGAGGGAUGCGGAAUUCCAGGUGUAGCGGUGAAAUGCGUAGAUAUCUGGAGGAACACCGGUGGCGAAGGCGGCGACCUGGGUAGAUACUGACGCUGAGGCGCGAAAGCGUGGGGAGCAAACAGG